AUUGAACGCUGGCGGCAUGCUUUACACAUGCAAGUCGAACGGUAACAGGCCUUCGGGUGCUGACGAGUGGCGAACGGGUGAGUAAUGCAUCGGAACGUACCCAGAGGUGGGGGAUAACGCAGCGAAAGCUGUGCUAAUACCGCAUGUGAUCUGAGGAUGAAAGCGGGGGACCGAGCAGCAAUGUUUGGCCUCGCGCCUUUGGAGCGGCCGAUGUCGGAUUAGCUAGUUGGUGGGGUAAAGGCCUACCAAGGCGACGAUCCGUAGCUGGUCUGAGAGGACGAACAGCCACACUGGGACUGAGACACGGCCCAGACUCCUACGGGAGGCAGCAGUGGGGAAUUUUGGACAAUGGGCGCAAGCCUGAUCCAGCAAUGCCGCGUGCGGGAAGAAGGCCUUCGGGUUGUAAACCGCUUUUGGCAGGAACGAAACGGUGUCCGCUAAUACCGGGCGAUAAUGACGGUACCUGCAGAAUAAGCACCGGCUAACUACGUG
rnacentral:rRNA from 1 species